UGCGUAGGGUCCGAGCGUUGUCCGGAAUUAUUGGGCGUAAAGAGCUCGUAGGCGGUUUGUCGCGUCUGCUGUGAAAUCCCGAGGCUCAACCUCGGGCCUGCAGUGGGUACGGGCAGACUUGAGUGCGGUAGGGGAGAAUGGAAUUCCUGGUGUAGCGGUGGAAUGCGCAGAUAUCAGGAGGAACACCGAUGGCGAAGGCAGUUCUCUGGGCCGUAACUGACGCUGAGGAGCGGAAGCGUGGGGAGCGAACAGG
rnacentral:rRNA from 1 species